AUUCCUGAAAAUGGAUUGGCACUCCAGCGUCGAGCCCAUACUCGGCCUGUUCUCCAAACUUGUUUUUAGUGGAGAACCGAGUAGGAGGGUCGCGGCGGUGGCAUGGAAGGGCGUGGCGCGAGCCUGCCUGGAGCCUCUGCCGGUGCAGAUCUUGGUGGUAGUAGCAAAUACUCGAGUGAGAACCUUGAGGACUGAAGUUGGAGAAGGGUUCCAUGUCAACAGCGUUUGCACAUGGGUGAGUCGGUCCUUAGCCAACGGAGAGAUCCUUGCUAGGCGAGACUUUAAGAGUCACGCUAUGGACGAAAGGUUAUCGGGUUAAGAUUCCCGAACCCGGACACGAAAUAAAUGAGACCUCGGUCUCUGGUGCGGUAACGCAAACGAACUCGGAGACGCCCGUGGAGGCACCAGGGAAGAGAUACGUUCUUUUCUUCGUAAGAGGUGCGAAGUCCCUGGAAAGGUGUCAUGCCGAGAUAGGGACAGGCGGUCUCGAAAGAGCACCUCGUUUCACGAGUUGUGCCUGGGACCCCUUUACGGGCCCUUGCAAAUCCGAGGGAGAGUCUAUGAUUUUCGUGCCGGGCCGUACCUAUAUCCGCAUCAGGUCUCCAAGGUGAACAGCCUCUAGUCACUAGAACAAUGUAGGUAAGGGAAGUCGGCAAAUUCGAUCCGUAACUUCGGGAUAAGGAUUGGCUCUGGGGGCCCCGUUCGUCGGGCUGUGUCUCCGAAGCCCUGUUUGCGUACCGUUCGGACUGGGUUCGUUCCCGGACUGAUAUGUGCCUGCGGGGUGGAAGUACGCAGUUUUUUUCGCGGAGCCCCUCUCCGGGGGAACCGCGGAGGUACGACGGACGCUAUGGGGCCGACUCAGAACUGGCACGGACCCUGGGAAUCCGACUGUCUAAUUAAAACAAAGCAUUGCGAUGGUCUGCAAGAGAUGUUGACGCAAUGUGAUUUCUGCCCAGUGCUCUGAAUGUUAAAAUGAAGAAAUUCAAUGAAGCUCGGGUAAACGGCGAGAGUAAUUAUGACUUUCUUAAGGUAGCCAAAUGCCUCGUCAUCUAAUUAGUGACGCGCAUGAAUGGAUUAACGAGAUUCCCAACUGUCCCUAUCUAUUAUCUAGCGAAACCACAGCCAAGGGAACAGGCUUGACACUAUCAGCGGGGAAAGAAGACCCUGUUAAACUUGACUCUAGUCAGACAUUGUUUAGGGACAUGAAGGGUGUAGAAUAAGUGGGAGUUAUCAUCUUGGUAGCGCCGUUGAAAUACCACUACCUUCAUCGUCUCUUUACUUACUCGGUAGUGCGGAGGAAGCCCCGAAUUUCGGGGCCCGUAUGGCUUUGAAACCUGGAGUCACUCGACUCUCAGGCGAUCCGCUCCGGAGAAAGUGUCCAGUAGGGAGUUUAACUGAAGCGGUAUACCUGUCAAAAUGUAACGCAGGUGUCCUAAGGCCAGCUCAGCGGGGACAGAAACCUCGCGUAGAGCAAAAGGGCAAAAGCUGGCUUGAUCCUGAUUUUCAGUACGAGUACGGACCGCGAAAGCGGGGCCUAUCAAUCCUUUCGAAUUUACGAGUUUUAAGCGAGAGGUGCCAGAAAAGUUACUACAGGGAUAAUUGACUUGUGGCGGCCAAGCGUUCAUAGCGACGUCGCUUUUUGAUUUUUUGAUGUCGGCUCUUCCUAUCAUUGCGAAGCAGAAAUCGCAAAGCGUUGGAUUGUUCACCCACUAACAGGGAAUGUGAGCUGGGUUUAGACCGUCGUAAGAUAGAUUAGUUUUACCCUUCUGAUGGAUAGUUUUUGCGAUAGCAAUCGAGCUCAGUACGAGAGGAACCGCAGGUUCGGAAAUUUGGUAUGUGCGCCUGGCCGGAAGGCCAACGGUGCUAGGCUACCGUCCGCGGGUUAACGGCUGAACGCCUCUAAGCCGGAAGCCCGCCUAACCGG